AUGGUGGAUGCGCAUAUUCUAAUGGAGGAAGGUGCUAAGGAGACCUGUGCACUUGUCUUACGGUCAGCUCACUCUGUACUGUACCACUCCUGUAGAAUGGCCAUGCCAACCUCCCAGCACAGCUAUGGAAAGACCAUGGGCACAUAACAGUUUGUUGGACCAACCAUCCUCUCCUGCUACACCAAUGUAUCAGCGGACGCUACACAGACGCUACACAGACAGGCCUUCAUGCACUCUCGACUGCUAAGGGCAAGGGCACCGGACCACUUGCGCUGUGCUCCUAUGAAAGCCAACAUAUCACCCCACCACCUUACCGCUAUUAGUUCAUCAUGUUUUCCCCUCAAUGUUUUUGACUUCAUCUGAUUUGGUAUUGCAUGUAUGUUGAAUGUAUGCUUAAGCGGUGGCCUAGUGGUUAGAGAGUUGGUCUUUCAAUCUAGGAGUUGCAGGUUCGAAUCCCCCCUGACCUCUCCCUACAUCUCCAUCCAUGGCUGAAGUGCCCUUGAGCAAGGCACCUAACCCCACAUUGCUCCAGGAACUGUAACCAAUACCCUGAAAAAUAAUAACUGUAAGUCGCUUUGAAUAAAUGAAGGCGUCAACUAAGUGCAAUAUAAUGUAAUGUAAAAGUAGCUAGUUCUGGCCAUGUAAUAUUUAACACCUGAGAAUAAAGAGAAGAACAAAUUAUGAGUAACACAUUUACAGCCUACACAGUACAGCAACAGUGAGUUCAAUAGGAGAUAAAAUGGGAGGAAGGAACUAUGCAUCAUCUACUGGAAAUCAACACAAGAGUUUUACACAGUUGUGAAUAAUGCAACAUCUGCAAAGUUCAAGAUAUAUGCCUUGCAUGCCUUUAUUUUAGUAGCAUGACUUUUCAAAUCAUAAUUCACCUAUAUAGCCUAACAUUAUAGAUUUUUGAAA